rnacentral:rRNA from 1 species
UACGUAGGGUGCAAGCGUUAAUCGGAAUUACUGGGCGUAAAGCGUGCGCAGGCGGUUUUGUAAGUCUGUCGUGAAAGCCCUGGGCUCAACCUGGGAAUUGCGAUGGGAGACUGCAAGGCUUGAAUCUGGCAGAGGGGGGUAGAAUUCCACGUGUAGCAGUGAAAUGCGUAGAGAUGUGGAGGAACACCGAUGGCGAAGGCAGCCCCCUGGGUCAAGAUUGACGCUCAUGCACGAAAGCGUGGGGAGCAAACAGG